AGAACGAACGCUGGCGGCGCGCCUAAUACAUGCAAGUCGAGCGAGAAGACGUAGCAAUACGUUUGUAAAGCGGCGAACGGGUGAGGAAUACAUGGGUAACCUACCCUCGAGUGGGGAAUAACUAGCCGAAAGGUUAGCUAAUACCGCGUACGCUCCUUGGACUUCGGUUCAGGGAGGAAAGCGAUACCGUGGGUAUCGCGCUCUUGGAUGGGCUCAUGUCCUAUCAGCUUGUUGGUGAGGUAACGGCUCACCAAGGCUUCGACGGGUAGCCGGUCUGAGAGGACGAUCAGCCACACUGGCACUGCGACACGGGCCAGACUCCUACGGGAGGCAGCAGUAAGGAGUAUUGCGCAAUGGGCGAAAGCCUGACGCAGCGACGCCGCGUGGGGGAUGAAGGUCUUCGGAUUGUAAACCCCUUUCGGAGGAAGAUGGAACGAGCAAUCGUUCGGACGGUACCUCCAGAAGCAGCCACGGCUAACUUCGCGCCAGCAGCCGC
rnacentral:rRNA from 1 species